GCUGAAACUCGCCUACAUGAAGCUGGAAUUGCUAGUAAUGGCAGGUCAGCAUACUGCCGUGAAUACGUUCCCGGGCCUUGUACACACCGCCCGUCACACCAUGAGAGUUGGAAAUACCCGAAGCCUGUGAGCUAACAAACGAGGCAGCAGUCGAAGGUAGAGCCAAUGAUUGGGGUGAAGUCGUAACAAGGUACC
rnacentral:rRNA from 1 species